rnacentral:rRNA from 1 species
GACGAACGCUGGCGGCGUGCCUAAUACAUGCAAGUAGAACGCUGAAGGAGGAGCUUGCUUCUCUGGAUGAGUUGCGAACGGGUGAGUGACGCGUAGGUAACCUGCCUGGUAGCGGGGGAUAACUAUUGGAAACGAUAGCUAAUACCGCAUAAUAGUAGAUGUUGCAUGACAUUUACUUAAAAGGUGCAAUUGCAUCACUACCAGAUGGACCUGCGUUGUAUUAGCUAGUUGGUGGGGUAACGGCUCACCAAGGCGACGAUACAUAGCCGACCUGAGAGGGUGAUCGGCCACACUGGGACUGAGACACGGCCCAGACUCCUACGGGAGGCAGCAGUAGGGAAUCUUCGGCAAUGGACGGAAGUCUGACCGAGCAACGCCGCGUGAGUGAAGAAGGUUUUCGGAUUGUAAAGCUCUGUUGUAAGAGAAGAACGAGUGUGAGAGUGGAAAGUUCACACUGUGACGGUAUCUUACCAGAAAGGGACGGCUAACUACGUGCC